ACUGAACGCUGGCGGCAUGCCUUACACAUGCAAGUCGAGCGGCAGCACGGGUGCUUGCACCUGGUGGCGAGUGGCGAACGGGUGAGUAAUAUAUCGGAACGUGCCCUAGAGUGGGGGAUAACGUAGCGAAAGUUACGCUAAUACCGCAUACGAUCUACGGAUGAAAGUGGGGGAUCGCAAGACCUCAUGCUCCUGGAGCGGCCGAUAUCUGAUUAGCUAGUUGGUGGGGUAAAAGCCUACCAAGGCGACGAUCAGUAGCUGGUCUGAGAGGACGACCAGCCACACUGGGGCUGAGACACGGACCAGACUCCUACGGGAGGCAGCAGUGGGGAAUUUUGGACAAUGGGGGAAACCCUGAUCCAGCAAUGCCGCGUGUGUGAAGAAGGCCUUCGGGUUGUAAAGCACUUUUGUCAGGAACGAAACGGUGGGGGCUAAUACCUCCUGCUAAUGACGGUACCUGAAGAAUAAGCACCGGCUAACUACGUGCCAGCCGCCGCCGUAA
rnacentral:rRNA from 1 species